CUUUCAACAACGGAUCUCUUGGUUCCAGCAUCGAUGAAGAACGCAGCGAAAUGCGAUAACUAAUGUGAAUUGCAGAAUUCAGUGAAUCAUCGAGUCUUUGAACGCACAUUGCGCCCCUCGGUAUUCCGGGGGGCAUGCCUGUCCGAGCGUCAUU
rnacentral:rRNA from 1 species